UGAUGGGCUGCCACAGAAGCGCUAAAACCGUCACACACAAAGGCACCACGGGACUCCCGCCAUCAACAGGAGCUCUCUGCCUGCCUCUGGCGCUGGCUGUCAGAACCGCUUCAUCUGAAAUCAAGUUCUUUAGAUUUAUGCAGUAGCCAUGUUUGUCGAAGUAUUUGGCACCAGUGACAUCAUCUUUGUUGAAAUGCCGGACAGCGUGAUGAGUCCCAGAUGUUAACGCACACCGAAAGUUGAGAAAGAAUAAAAUACAAAGAUCAACUGUAACAGCUAUGGAGGACUGUACUCAGUUUACAUUCUGAUGUUGAUACAUGAGGAAUAUGGAUUUUUGUAAGGACUCCUAAAGCUGUUAAAACUUACAG